rnacentral:rRNA from 1 species
CGUAGUGGCGCACGGGUGCGUAACGCGUGGGAAUCUGCCCUUAGGUACGGAAUAACUCAGGGAAACUUGAGCUAAUACCGUAUAAUGACUUCGGUCCAAAGAUUUAUCGCCUAAGGAUGAGCCCGCGUAGGAUUAGCUUGUUGGUGAGGUAAAAGCUCACCAAGGCGACGAUCCUUAGCUGGUCUGAGAGGAUGAUCAGCCACACUGGGACUGAGACACGGCCCAG